rnacentral:rRNA from 1 species
AGUGAACGCUGGCGGUAGGCCUAACACAUGCAAGUCGAACGGCAGCACAGUAAGAGCUUGCUCUUACGGGUGGCGAGUGGCGGACGGGUGAGGAAUACAUCGGAAUCUACUUUUUCGUGGGGGAUAACGUAGGGAAACUUACGCUAAUACCGCAUACGACCUACGGGUGAAAGCAGGGGAUCUUCGGACCUUGCGCGAUUGAAUGAGCCGAUGUCGGAUUAGCUAGUUGGCGGGGUAAAGGCCCACCAAGGCGACGAUCCGUAGCUGGUCUGAGAGGAUGAUCAGCCACACUGGAACUGAGACACGGUACAGACUCCGACGGGAGGACGCAGUGGGGAAUAUUGGACAAGGGGGGCAAGCCUGAUCCAGCCAUACCGCGUGGGUGAAGAAGGCCUUCGGGUUGGAAAGCCCUUUUGUUGGGAAAGAAAAGCAGCAGGUUAAUACCCCGCUGUUCUGACGGUACCCAAAGAAUAAGCACCGGCUAACUUCGUG